AUUUUCAGUUUCUCUAAAAUGGAGAGAGAGAAAGAGCCAAGCUAUUUUCAGUUUCUUUUAUUCUGAAACAAUAAUCAAACGUGACCUUAUAGUCCAACACAAAAUCUUCCAGCCAUCUAGUUUACCACACAACUGAAGCGAGGAGUUUAUCCUGACACAAAGAGCAUAAGCUUGCAAAAGAAACCAAACACUGCCCAGGAAUACUAAUAUCAGAAUAAUACAAACAAGAGCUCUCGGCUUUCCAGCUUAUCAUUGGGUGAUGAUCCCUUGUGAUGAACUUCAAUUUAUGCAAAAUCUUCGUUUAAUAUCCUACAUCAAAUUUUUGUUAUAAUCAACAGCAUCCUGUGCCAUCUCUGGGCACCGAUCUCAAGCCUAACGAGAUAAGUUACCUUAACAUUUUUGCCUAAGUCCUGACAAAUAUUGAUCCUUAUCCUGUUCUUCCUUUUUAUCAACAGUUGAUCCAUUUGGAAGCCAAUGAUCACAUCAAGAGUAUAUUUCUGCAAUUCCUUGAGUUAGUAUAGGCAUCACCUUUUGCUGUCCCUUAACAUCAGCUGGUGAAAAUCGUGCAGGAUUUCUUGCUAUUAUUAUACCCUCUGCAGCUUUCGUUGUAGGUAUGGUUCUUACACAACUUCUAGGAUGUCAUAUUUCAAAAGCUGAUAUUGUUUAGGAUUUAGCAGGAGUAUAUGGUAUGAUAUGAGGGAAACUGAACUUGAUUUUCUUAUUUAUUAUUAUGAUAUCCAUAGCAACAUUUUAGCAAAGUCUACUUUGUACAGCUUGCCAUUCGAUUCCACUACAAAGUGAUCUUUUUUUGGUUACAGAGUAAUCUUUUUUGCUAUGAUUAUUCAGAGUGCAUUUCUUGUUAGACAUUCUGACUCGUCUUCUUUAUUUGAUAGCUCUAACAUGAGGAUUCCAAAUUUCUGUGAGCAAAUUCCAGGCAACUAGAUGCAAGACUUUCCGUUAUAAAAUGUGGAAAUGGCAAAGUGCUGCAGAGAUUUCUGACGUGAGAUAAAAAAGAUGGUAAUCUAUGCACGAACAUAUUCACCUUAAAUGCAAAUUAAAACACUUUAUCUGUAUUCAUUUCAGUAAUCGAAGAAGGGAAUUGACAAGCCAAAUUGAGCUAAAACAAAACAUGAAAUGGAAAAGGCGUGAUAUAUGCAUACACAAAUGGUGAAAAAAAAAAAAGGAAGUAUAGGCAUGUAGGAAACCCUCUUAUGAAUCUGCGGCCACCAUUCAAACUUACACGAGCAAGAAGCAUGUCAAUACUCCAAAACAGUCUAUUGGGGUCUUAAUAAUACU